rnacentral:tRNA from 1 species
CUUCGGCGUAGCCGACGAGGCCGUCGCGGUUGCCGACUGCGACGACACAGCGGAACUUCACCCGCCGGCCGGAGUC